CACGUCACCUGUUGUGCUCUCUCUGUGCUCCAAAUUGAUGAUGAGCCAACAUCCAACAAGAGGGGAACAUUCAGAACCAAUUGAGAGAGAAAGGGCGAGACGCAGACAGAGAAAGACGAGUGCUCAAUGCAGAAGAAGAGAGCACUGCUCCUCAACAUUUUAUAUACACAUCAGAAACGUCAUUUCUAGUUUUGGACAAUUUAUAAACUAAACAAUUUUUCGAGUUUUACUUGAUUUCUGGUAAAUGUAAUCAAUAAGUUUAUUUUUUGACGCUGCUAAGCCUAAUUUUGAGCCCCUUCAACCUAUAAAAUCAUAAUUUUUGUGCUCCGAUCAGGCUUUUAGCUGUGACAAUCUGAAAAUUCAGGCCCGGAAGCCUAGUUUCAGGCCUUUAAGCCUAACAAUUGAACUUUUUUGUGGCUUCUGUGCCUCUACUCGAAUUGGUGGUACAAAUCCGGUAUUCUCGGCUGAAAAUGCAAUAAAUACCGCGUUUUUUACCAACAAUUCGCGAUAGAGCGCAUUUGCCACCGGAGAUGCGGAAGCUAUGCCCAAAUUUUCAUUUUUAACUCAACAAGUUUUCCAAAAAAUCGAUAAAAUUCAAUUUUUUCAAGUAUUGAGAAUUGCCAGAACAAUUUAUAUAAUUAUCACGAGAAGUUUCUUUUAAUUUUUUUUUUUAAACUUCCGCUUCAGUGUUCAUAAUUAAUAUUAGCGUUAGUAGUAUUACAAUAUUCUAAAAAAAAAAACAAAAAAUUUUUUUUUUGAAAAUAUAAAAUUUUUUUUUUUGAAAAUAUUUUUGUCUCUAUAUAAUAUUAGCGUUAGUAGUAUUACAAUAUUCUAAAAAAAAACAAAAAAAUUUUUUUUUUUGAAAAUAUGUCUUUAUUAGUCUAAUGUUAUAUUAGCGUUAGUAACAUUAAUCAUUUUUUUGGAAAAAUUCCAUUUUUUUUUUGAAAAUCUUUUAUUUAUCUAAUUGUGAGUGUUAUAUUAGUUAUAUUAGCGUUAGUAAUUAGUAUUAUUAAAAAUUUCUGAAAAAUUAUUUUUUUAAAAAUAUGUUUGUCUCAAUAUAAUAUUAGCGUUAAUAUGUAGUAAGUAAGGAUUUUUCCAAAUUUUUUUUCCGAUUUCAUUAAUAUAAAUUUUCUGGAAAGUUUUUGUUUGAAAUUAAUUUCGUCUCUAUCUAAUCUCUAUCUAAAGUAUGUAGUAUUAAUAAGAAAAUUUUUUCGAGUUUUUUGAAAAAAACGUCAUUAUUAAUUUAAUGUUAUACUAACGUUAGUAGCAUUAAUCAUUUUUGGAAAAAAUAUCGUUUUUUUUUGAAAAACUAUUAUUUGUUAAUCGAAUUUGUUAUUAGCGUUAACUAAUGAGUAUUAGUACUAGAAAUAUGAAAAACUUUUUUUUUCUGAAUUUUUUGAAAAAAACAUUUUUUAAUUUUAUUAAUGUUGUUGAUAUUAGCGUUAGUAGUAUUAAGAAUUUCUGGAAAAAAUCGAUUUUUUUUAAAAUUUUCUUGAAAACUUUAAUGUAAUAUUAUAUUAGUGUUAGUAUGUAAAAUAUAUAUUUUUUUGAAAAAAAAUUUUUCUCGAUUUUUUUCUCAAUUUUAGUUUUUUUUUUUCAAAUUGUUAUAUACAUUAUUGAUUUUUUGUUGUUUUCUCUGAUACAUUUUUUCUGAUAAAUCCGUUUUUUUU
ensembl:lincRNA linc-81 ncRNA